CAGUAGCCGCGGGAACACGUAGGGUGCAAGCGCUAAUCGGAAUUACUGGGCGUAAAGCGUGCGCAGGCGGUCCGCUAAGACAGAUGUGAAAUCCCCGGGCUUAACCUGGGAACUGCAUUUGUGACUGGCGGGCUAGAGUAUGGCAGAGGGGGGUAGAAUUCCACGUGUAGCAGUGAAAUGCGUAGAGAUGUGGAGGAAUACCGAUGGCGAAGGCAGCCCCCUGGGCCAAUACUGACGCUCAUGCACGAAAGCGUGGGGAGCAAACAGGAUUAGAUACCCCCGUAGUCCCUGUCUCUUAUAC
rnacentral:rRNA from 1 species